rnacentral:rRNA from 1 species
UACGUAGGGGGCAAGCGUUGUCCGGAAUUAUUGGGCGUAAAGCGCGUGUAGGCGGCUCGGUAAGUCUGCUCUGAAAGCCCGGGGCUCAACCCUGGGAGGCGGGUGGAUACUGCUGAGCUCGAGUCCGGAAGAGGCGAGUGGAAUUCCUGGUGUAGCGGUGAAAUGCGCAGAUAUCAGGAGGAACACCAAUGGCGAAGGCAGCUCGCUGGGACGGUACUGACGCUGAGACGCGAAAGCGUGGGGAGCAAACAGG